AUGUGGCCAAUCGAUGUACAAAGGAUUCUUUCAAUUCCCCAACCGCAACAUGAAAUGCAAGAUUUCAUUGCCUGGAAUUAUACAAAAAAUGGUAUUUUCUCGGUUCGAUCAGCCUAUUUUAUGGAGUGGGACCACUAGUAUGGAAGCAAAUUAAAACACUCUAAUGGGAUGGGGCGAACCACAGUUAACCCUAUUUGGAGCAAGAUAUGGAAGUUAGAAUGUCCGGCAAAAGUAAAAGAAUUCUUAUGGCGUAUGCUACAUGGUACAAUCCCAUGCCGGGUUACGCUAGCUAACAAACAUAAGAAGGUUUCACCCAUUUGCCCCACUUGUCCGGAGGGCUUAGAAGAUACCAAACAUAUGCUCUUCCGAUUUAGUAAAGCAAAGGAGGUCUGAAAAAGGCUGGGGAUGGAUGAUAUUAUUGAUAAAACUUGUGAAGUUGACCGUGCGGGAGAGGCAGUGUUGGAGUAUCUACUACUCCUACUAGACCAAGAUUUGUGGAUAUUGGGUCACAAUGUACGUGAAAUGAUUGCUAUAUCAGCAUGGUAUCUAUGGUGGGAAAGACGGAAGUUGGUACACAAUGAACUCAAAAUGUAA
rnacentral:rRNA from 1 species